rnacentral:tRNA from 1 species
GAGGGUAUAGCUCAAGUGGUAGAGCACAUGCUUAGCAUGCAAGAGGUCCUGGGUUCAAUCCCCAGUCCCUCCU